GUCAAAGGAGGCGGGGCCACGCGGAGGAAGCUGCACACCAAGCAAAACAAAAGCGAUUAAACGAAAAUUUUGCUAUUAAAGUGAGCAGACGUUUUGAGGAAGAUGUCGGCCUUUCCAUCCUCGUCGUCCAAGAGUCUCACCUCCACCCCGCUCAAAUCCAAACCCAGUGCUCUAGGAAGUGCCCUACAGCGCAGCAGAAGUGUGGAGUCCACCGGGGACUCGACCUCCUCUCUGCUGUCACCCAUCUACCACGACAGCUUUGAGCAUUCAGAGGAGGAACCAGAAAUAGAUGAGGAUCAACCUGUUCACAACAUCACCGUCACGUUAAGUGAAGAUGUCGCAGCGGUCUCUCUCUCCAGGGAUGAGGUGGAAACAACAGGCCUGGAAGACAGAUCUUCUUCUGCACAGUUCAAACUGAGCGCGUGGGAACAGUGGAUCGUAGAUAAAGCAAAAGAGGAGCGGAUCAGAAAGCAACAGAAAGCUGUGGAGGAGCUGACCAUGAAGGAAAAACAGGAUAAACAGGAGAGAGAACAACAGAAGAAGAAAGUUGCCAGUGACUGCAAAAUUCAAGAAUGGCUGCAAAUAAAACGAGAGCAGGAAAAGAAAGAAAGAGUAUCCAAAGAAUUUCAGAAAAGCAAAGAACAACUUCAAGAGGAGAAAAUACGUGCCGAGAUUGAAAAAAAAGCCCAGGAGAAAUAUAAGGAGUGGCUUCGAAAGAAAAAACAAGAGGAGGUGGAGAGAAAGCUAAAAGAGCAGGAGGCGGCCAGAAGAGAAGUAGAAGAGAGGGAACGUAAAGAAAAGGCAGAGGAGAGCUUUAAAGAAUGGCUUGAAGGUGUAAAAACUAAAGGAAAACUGUGGCGACCGUCGUCAGCAUGCUCAGCUGGCAGCUAUAACAAUGUGAACUAUCCCACUCCGAGCUUCGUCAACCCCAUUCCGUGGAAGCCCAUUCACAUUCCGCAGCAAGACCGAACGCCCAAGAAAAAUGUGUUGCAUAAGAGAACGCCAGGACCACCAAAAAGCCAGUCGACCCCCUGCCUCAGCUACAAACCUAAAGACACCAUCAGUUUCACUUGCAAAAGACGGUGACACUGACAUCUACUGGUUUGAGUCCAGUAUGAACGUUUUAAAUGUAGCAUUUUUAUGAAAGGAGCAUUUCAUCCAUUUUUGAGAAUAGAUGAUGAUGUUGGUAUCUAUGACACAGCACAAAACCAUACAUUGAAAAGUGACUUUUAUUAUGAAUUCAAAAUCUUUUCUUUGGUUACUGAUAUUUGGUUGAAUGUGUAAAAUGUAUUUUUGAAUUUGAUGAAAUACAGACCAUUUUCUUCAUCCAAAUUUGGACAUAAUUUGCAAAACACAAGUGUCUGACUGAAAAGCAUGCCCAGUGUUAUUUUAAUUAACAGAAUAAUGUUGUUUUUAGCGCUAGGGAUGUCCCGGAUUGGAAUUGGGUCCGAUACCAAGCUCAUGUACUCGUGCUCAUAAAAAUGCUCUGAUACUAAAAAUGGAUAUCAUCUGAUGUAUGAAUGUCAUUACUUUUUUUUUUUUAACAGCCUUUUGGCUUUUUACUGGGAAAGUAGAGAGGUGACAGGAAAUGAGAGGGAGAAGAGUGGGAAUGGGAUCGGGAAAGGACCUCACAAGCCGGGUCACCUGCGAUACAUCAGCACCACAUGUCAUGAGCGCAGCCCACUAGGCUAUGGCUCUGACAUGAAUGUCAUUACUUAAACAUUCAGCACACAAAUUAAAAUCACAUUAUGUGCUAGUGUGAUUAUUAAACCGCAAAGGCUGUGAUCUAAUGAGAUAAAUCUUUAGUUUGCAAGUUCUGCACGCUUCAAAUGUGAGCACUUGUGAAUGUGUGUUGCCGGUGUUGUGCUGACAUAAAGACACAAAGUGUUUUGUAGCAGAUGACCGUGAGCAGAGUGCUAAUUUACUUUGAAGCACGCAGCGCAUACAGACUGCAUAUUUAUUUAAUUAAAUAGCUACCUUUUGCGGUUUAAUAAUCACUUUGGGUCAUGUAGCGACCGGCUUUUUCGGAAGGGAGAAGCUACCGUCAAAACACACAGAAACAGAAAGGGCUUCAAAAUAAAAGCUUCCGCCAAAAUAAAAACCUCAGUUAAAAUGGAAAAAAGGUACAACAGAAAUAUACAGUGCAUUCAGAAAGUAUUCAGACCCCUUAAUUUUUCACAUUUUGUUAUGUUGCAGCCUUAUGCUAAAAUGCUAAAAAAAAUAAAAUAAAAAAAAAAUUCACAUCAAUCUACACUCCAUAACCCAUAAUGACAAAGCAAAAACCAGAUUUUUGAUAACUUUGCAAAUUUAUUAAAAAGAAAAAACUGAAAUAUCACAUUGACAUAAAUAUUCAGACCCUUUUUGAGUCCACCGGUGGCAAAUUCAAUUGAUUGGACAUGAUUUGGAAAGGCACACGCCUGUCUAUAUAAGGUCUCAUAGCUGAAAAUGCAUAUCAGAGCAAAAACCAAACUGUGAGGUCAAAGAAACUGCCUGCAGAGCUCAGAGACAGGAUUGUGUCAAGGCACAGAUCUGGGGAAGGCUACAAAAAAAAAAAUGUCAGCAGCAUUGAAGGUUCCCAAGAGCACAGUGACCUCCAUAAUUCUUAAAUGGAAGAAGUUUGGAACAACCAGGACUCUUCCUAGAGCUGGCCGCCCGGCCAAACUGAGCAAUCGGGGGAGAAGGGCCUUGGUAAGAGAGGUGACCAAGAACCCGAUGGUCACUCUGGUUGAUCUCCAGAGAUCAUGUGUGGAGACGGGAGAAACUUGCAGAAGGACAACAAUCACUGCAACACUCCAUCGAUCUGGGCUUUAUGGCAGAGUGGCCAGACGGAAGCCUCUCCUCAGUGCAAGACACAUUAAAAACACCUAAAGGACUCUCAGACUGUGAGAAACAAGAUUCUCUGGUCUGAUGAAACGAAGAUUGAACUGUUUGGCCUCAAUUCCAAGCAUCAUGUCUGGAGGAAACCAGGCACUGCUCAUCACCUGCGCAAUACCAUCCCAACGGUGAAGCAUGGUGGUGGCAGCGUCAUGCUGUGGGGGUGUUUUUCAGCGGCAGGGACUGGGGGACUGGUCAGGGUUGUAGGAAAGCUGAAUGCAGCCAAAUACAGAGAUAUCCUUAAUGAAAACCUGGUCCAGAGCGCUCAGGACCUCAGACUGGGACGAAGGUUCACCUUCCAACAGGACAAUGACCCUAAGCACACAGCCAAGACAACACAAGAGUGGCUUAGGGACAACUCUGUGAAUGUCCAUGAGUGGCCCAGCCAGAGCCCAGACUUGAACCCAAUCGAACAUCAGAGACCUGAAAAUGUCUGUUCACCGACGGUCCCCAUCCAACCUGACAGAGCUUGAGAGGAUCUGCAGAGAAGAGUAGCAGAAAAUCCCCAAAUCCAGGAGUGCAAAGCUUGUCGCAUCAUACCCAAAAAGACUUGUGGCUGUAAUCGCUGCCAAAGGUGCUUUUUUGAAAGUUAUCAAAAAAAACAAAACAAGUAUCAGUGAGUACCGAAAGGAAGUAUCAGUACUCUUACCCGUUCUCAAAAAAAUGGUAUCUGUAUAUCCCUACUUAGCGCGAAACAACGCAAGUUCUCGUGUGAACAUGCAAGCCCCUGUGAACGAGCGCUCGUGAUUGCGCAACUCUUUCUGAUUGCAGAAAAGAGGUGUGGAUGUGUACGAAAAAAUAUAAAAUAUAGAAAAAAUCUUAACAGAAUAGAUUAAUUUAUUAAAAAAAUGUAACAGGUUCAAUACAAGUUAAGCCUAAUAAACAUAAUUUGUGGCAUAAAGGUGAUUUCCACAAAAUUAAUUUAGAUUUAUUUAAAAAACAAAAAACACAAAUCUGUGUUCCAGUGAGGCUCUUACAGUGGAAGUCAAUGGGGCCAAUCUGGAAAGGUUUAAAUACUCACUGUUUCAAAAGUAUAGACACAAGAUGUAAACAAUAUGUGUGUUAACAUGAUUUUAGUGUGAUAAAAUCACUUACUAACAUUUUCUGUUUUAAGUUAUAUCCAAUAUAACAACUCUGAUGUCAUGAUGACGUAAUGCUUAAACCCUUUUAUUCUGGUAUCGGAUAUAAUUUUACGCAGAAAAGGUUAGUAUCAGAUUUCAUCACACUUAAAUCAUGUUAACACACAUAUUGUUUACGUCUUGUGGCUAUACGUCUGAAACAAUGUGUUUUAUAGCAUUUAUGGACUGGCCCCAUUGACUUCCAUUAUAAGUGUCUUAUUGUAACUGCGAUAUUUAUUUUUAUUUUUUUUUUUAACUAAAUGAGGGAUGUUUACAUUUUAAUUUUUUUUGUGAUGAUCAACAUUAUACCACAAAUGCUGUCGACUGAGCUUAACUUGUAUUGAACCUGGAAUAUUCCUUUAAUUAAAAAUAAUAAUAAUUAAAUCACUUUUCCAGUUGAAAGACAUUUAAAAUGAUUUAAUUAAUGAAUAAAAUGUUGUUAAAGGUAAGAACAUAUAAUAAAGUUCAUCAUUUUUAAAGCCAUUUGCGAAUUGCUUCUUAUUUAAUUUGCCAGUUAUGUAUAAAAACAAAGUGCCAUUGGGCUGUUGCAGUUGUGGUGUGGCGGCGUGUAAAAAUCCAGUUACACGUUUACAUUUUGUGGAUGUGUAUGAUUCAAAACAAGCCAUUUUUGUACUCACCACGGUGUAGUAGUUUAACAAAAGAAGUUUUCUGAGUGAACAGAAGUUAUUAACUGGCUUAUCUGCAUUCGCCGACUUGUGGAGUCAACUUGUGACCAGACACGAUGACCUCUGACCCCUAGACUGGGCUAAAAGCCAAAUGUACCCCUCUAACAGACGUGUGUAUUGUCUUCAGCGCAGUUGUGCCUUGUAGUCCUUUCAAAUGAAUGACGUGAAUGUGUGUGUGUAUGAGUGUGUGUGGGUGGGUGCUUAUAUGUUCAAUACAUUGUGUACACAAACACAAUACUGUAGAUACUGACCCCAGACACUCCUUCAAACUCUUAUAAACACACUUUGUGGAUCAGAGAUACUGUAAGUUCUUUCUUUCUGUCUGUCUGUAGAUAUGCAAGCUAAGAGUUUGUAAAGGUUUCAAAUUGUAGUAUACACUGUGUAUCAAAAACUCAUUCAUUUGUGGUCAUUUUUGCUUUGUUAGUUUUGGAGGAAAUCAUAGUUUCUAAUUAUGUUUUUAUUUCAGUUAAUAACACUGAUCUGGAUUCAGUUUAUUUGUUGCAUUUCUUCCCGAUACAUCAGGCGAUUCUCCAGUCUGAUCUGGGAUUGAACGUUACAGAGCAUUACGCCUGAAUCGCAAUAUUUGCAAACUAACUGCAGUUCCCAGAGAUGCGGUGGUGCAGGUGGGCAGGCAACUGGACGUCGCAGCUUCAGACGCAG